rnacentral:rRNA from 1 species
UACGGAGGGUGCGAGCGUUGUCCGGAAUCAUUGGGCGUAAAGGGCGCGUAGGUGGCCCGGCAAGCGUGCGGUGAAAGUCGGGGGCUCAACCCCCGAUCGGCCGUGCGAACUGCGGGGCUGGAGCACUGUAGAGGCGAGUGGAAUUCCGGGUGUAGCGGUGGAAUGCGUAGAGAUCCGGAAGAACACCGGUGGCGAAGGCGGCUCGCUGGGCAGUGGCUGACGCUGAGGCGCGACAGCGUGGGGAGCAAACAGG